rnacentral:rRNA from 1 species
AUGNGCGNCUACCAUGCAAGUCGAACGGGAAGCUCGUUUUCGGAUGAGCGGAGAGUGGCGCACGGGUGAGUAACACGUAACUGAUCUGCCCUAGAGAGAGGGAUAACUACUGGAAACAGUAGCUAAAACCUCAUAAGCUCACGUUGUUUAGAAAGAUGUGAGAAAAACUGCGGUGCUCUAGGAUGAGGUUGCGUCCCAUCAGCUAGUUGGUGUGGUAAAGGCACACCAAGGCGACGACGGGUAGGGGACCUGAGAGGGUGACCCCCCACACUGGAACUGAGAUACGGUCCAGACUCCUACGGGAGGCAGCAGUGAGGAAUAUUGCACAAUGGACGAAAGUCUGAUGCAGCGACGCCGCGUGGGCGAAGAAGGUUUUCGGAUCGUAAAGCCCUUUUCUAUGUGACGAGAAUGGACGGUAGCAUAGGAAUAAGUGUCGGCUAACUACGUGCCAGCAGCCGCGGUAAAACGUAGGACGCAAACGUUAUCCGGAGUUACUGGGCGUAAAGCGCGAGCAGGCGGUUAAGUAAGUUACCUAUGGAAGCUCUCGGCUAAACUGGGAGAGGAUAGGUGAAACUGCUAAACUAGAGUGAGAUAGAGGCAAGUAGAAUUCCAGGUGUAGUGGUGAAAUGCGUAGAUAUCUGGAGGAAUACCAGUGGCGAAGGCGGCUUGCUGGGUCUCAACUGACGCUGAGGCGCGAAAGCGUGGGUAGCGAACGGGAUUAGAAACCCCGGUAGUCCACGCUGUAAACGAUGUACAUUAGACGUUCGUAUGCCUACGGGUAUAUGAGUGUCGAAGCAAACGCGAUAAAUGUACCGCCUGGGGAGUACGGUCGCAAGGCUAAAACUCAAGG